rfam:Equus caballus chromosome 20, whole genome shotgun sequence.
GGGGGUGUAGCUCAGUGGUAGAGCGCAUGCUUCGCAUGCAUGAGGUCCCGGGUUCGACUCCUGGCACCUCCA